rnacentral:RNase_P_RNA from 1 species
GAAGUCCGCUAGACAGUCGCCGCCUUGCUUUGGCAGGGGGGAGGAAAGUCCGGGCUCCAUAGGGUAAAGUGCCAGAUAACGUCUGGGCGGCGAAAGUCGACGGAAAGUGCAGCAGAAAGUAUACCGCCUAAGUAUCUUCGGAUAACGGUAAGGUUGAAAAGGUGAGGUAAGAGCUCACCGCGUGGGUGGCAACAUUCCACGGCGAUGGUAAACCCCACUCGGAGCAAGACCAAAUAGGGAUCCUUAAGGUAUGGCCCAUACCGGAUCCGGGUAGGUCGCUUGAGGUGUAUGGCGACGUACACCCUAGAUGAAUGACUGUCCACGACAAAACCCGGCUUAUCGGCGGGCUUCUCCU